GUGUGGAGCCAAAAAUAUUCACUAGGCGACACGUGGACUUUUGGACAAAAGAGGACAAAAAUACCCUCGAGGCAUACCGGGUUUCCUACACGCGAGCAGUAGAGAAUCAUUUUUUCAACCAAGUCAAAAGUGCCCAAAAUAGGUAUCAACUUAAAACCUAAUUUAUUCAUAUAUUUCCCAUUUCAUUAUUUAGCUAAUCAAUUAGCUAAAUAAUAUACUUAUUCCUUUCAUAUUUCAUAAAAUCAUAAUAAUUGACUAAUUAAGGGAUUAAUUACCUAAUCAAUCCCUUAAUUGUCAAUUUGAAACAUCCACUCAAACCUAAAAACACAAGAGGGCCGGCUAUCCCAUUGAAAAACCUAAUCCAUUACCUUUUUUCUACCUUUUCC
rnacentral:lncRNA from 1 species